AAACAAGUGACAAGGUUCAAGAAAUUCCUUCUGUCACUGGCUGACUUGUCCACUUCCCUCCAGUGGGUUUACAUGUCAACACGUCCAAAAUUUGUGGGGAGAGCAUUGUAAGACAAGAUCCAACCAGGACCACUUGUUUGAUGCCCUCAGUAGGCUCAUCGUGCGAGGAAACCGGUGAAGGUUAUGUCAAGUGUGCAUGAACCUGGUCUUGGAGCUACCACAAAGUCAAGGAAAGCAAGAUGAAGCGACUAAUAAGAGCUGGUCUUUCUGUUGCCCACUGUGAUGAACAGAUGUCCAAGUGUUGAAUCUGUUAUGUUUUUACAUAUGCACUUUCAUAAUGUGUAAAUAUGGGAAUUGUAAAGUUGGAAAUGAUGUGAUGUUGUCUUAAGUAAACAGAAAAUAAGACAUUUUUAUCUACUGAUUAUCAUUGGACAAAGAAAGUCAUAUUCAGAUUUGUCAAUGAAUAAAACACUUGAACUUCAUAUAUGGCUGCAAAUAUAUCUUUAUUACAAGUUAACAUGGUUGAUAAAAACAACAUCAAACAUAUCAUUGCAGUUA